UGCCAGCCGCCGCGGUAACACGUAGGUGACAAGCGUUAUCCGGAAUUACUGGGCGUAAAGCGCACGCAGGCGGUUGGUCAAGUCUGAUGUGAAAGCUCCCGGCUUAACUGGGAGAGGUCGUUAGAAACUGAUCAACUUGAGGUAGUGAGAGGGGUGUGGAAUUCCCGGUGUAGUGGUGGAAUGCGUAGAUAUCGGGGGGAACACCAGUGGCGAAAGCGGCACCCUGGGAUGCAACUGACGCUGAGGCGCGAAAGCAUGGGUAGCGAACGGGAUUAGAUA
rnacentral:rRNA from 1 species